AACGAACGCUGGCGGCAGGCCUAACACACGCAAGUCGAACGCCCGUAGCAAUACGGGAGUGGCAGACGGGUGAGUAACGCGUGGGAACGUGCCCUUCGGUUCGGAAUAACUCAGGGAAACUUGAGCUAAUACCGGAUACGUCCGUAAGGAGAAAGAUUUAUCGCCGAAGGAUCGGCCCGCGUCGGAUUAGCUAGUUGGUGAGGUAACGGCCCACCAAGGCGACGAUCCGUAGCUGGUCUGAGAGGANGAUCAGCCACAUUGGGACUGAGACACGGCCCAAACUCCUACGGGAGGCAGCAGUGGGGAAUCUUGCGCAAUGGGCGAAAGCCUGACGCAGCGACGCCGCGUGAGGGAUGACGGCCUC
rnacentral:rRNA from 1 species